AUUGAACGCUGGCGGCAUGCCUUACACAUGCAAGUCGAACGGCAGCACGGACUUCGGUCUGGUGGCGAGUGACGAACGGGUGAGUAAUGUAUCGGAACGUACCUUUCAGUGGGGGAUAACGUAGCGAAAGUUACGCUAAUACCGCAUAUUCUGUGAGCAGGAAAGCAGGGGAUCGCAAGACCUUGCGCUGAUUGAGCGGCCGAUAUCAGAUUAGCUAGUUGGUGAGGUAAAGGCUCACCAAGGCGACGAUCUGUAGCGGGUCUGAGAGGAUGAUCCGCCACACUGGAACUGAGACACGGUCCAGACUCCUACGGGAGGCAGCAGUGGGGAAUUUUGGACAAUGGGCGCAAGCCUGAUCCAGCCAUGCCGCGUGAGUGAAGAAGGCCUCGG
rnacentral:rRNA from 1 species